AUGCUUCGGCAUCACAUAUACUAAAAUUGGAACGAUACAGAGAAGAUUAGCAUGGCUCCUGCGCAAGGAUGACGUGCAAAUUCGUGAAGUGUUCCAUAUUUUU
ensembl:snRNA U6 U6 spliceosomal RNA